AACGAACGCUGGCGGCAGGCCUAACACGUGCAAGUCGAACGCUCGUAGCAAUACGGGAGUGGCAGACGGGUGAGUAACGCGUGGGAAUCUACCCAAUGGUACGGAAUAACUCAGGGAAACUUGAGCUAAUACCGUACGUGCCCGAAAGGGGAAAGAUUUAUCGCCAUUGGAUGAGCCCGCGUCGGAUUAGCUAGUUGGUGGGGUAACGGCCCACCAAGGCGACGAUCCGUAGCUGGUCUGAGAGGAUGAUCAGCCACACUGGGACUGAGACACGGCCCAGACUCCUGCGGGAGGCAGCAGUGGGGAAUAUUGGACAAUGGGCGCAAGCCUGAUCCAGCCAUGCCGCGUGAGUGAUGAAGGCCCUAGGGUUGUAAAGCUCUUUCGGCGGGGACGAUAAUGACGGUACCCGCAGAAGAAGCCCCGGCUAACUUCGUGCCAGCAGCCGCAGUAA
rnacentral:rRNA from 1 species